AGAGCGAACGCUGGCGGCAUGCUUAACACAUGCAAGUCGCACGGGCAGGGGCAACUCUGUCAGUGGCGGACGGGUGAGUAACGCGUAGGUAUCUAUCCUUGGGUGGGGGACAACUGUGGGAAACUACAGCUAAUACCGCAUGAUAACUGAGGUUUAAAGGCGCCCAGGGUAACUUGGGUGGUCGCCUGGCGAGGAGCCUGCGUACGAUUAGCUAGUUGGUGGGGUAAAGCCUACCAAGGCGACGAUCGUUAGCUGGUCUGAGAGGAUGAUCAGCCACAUUGGGACUGAGACACGGCCCAAACUCCUACGGGAGGCAGCAGUGGGGAAUAUUGGACAAUGGGGGCAACCCUGAUCCAGCCAUGCCGCGUGAGUGAUGAAGGCCCUAGGGUUGUAAAGCUCUUUUGUGCGGGAAGAUAAUGACGGUACCGCAAGAUAAGCCCGGCUAACUUCGUGCCAGCAGCCGC
rnacentral:rRNA from 1 species